rnacentral:rRNA from 1 species
AUUGAACGCUGGCGGCAGGCUUAACACAUGCAAGUCGAACGAGCGGCGGACGGGUGAGUAAUGUCUGGGAAACUGCCUGAUGGAGGGGGAUAACUACUGGAAACGGUAGCUAAUAACGCAUACCAUCGGAUGUGCCCAGAUGGGAUUAGCUAGUAGGUGGGGUAACGGAUCACCUAGGCGACGGUCCCUAGCUGGUCUGAGAGGAUGACCAGCCAAACUGGAACUGAGACACGGUCCAGACUCCUAGGGGAGGCAGAAGUGGGGAAUAUUGCACAAUGGGCGCAAGCCUGAUGCAGCCAUGCCGCGUGUAUGAAGAAGGCCUUCGGGUUGUAAAGUACUUUCAGCGAGGAGGCGUUACUCGCAGAAGAAGCACCGGCUAACUCCGUGCCAGCAGCCGCGGUAAUAC